GGGCGUGGUCCCGGUCUCGGCCUUCAAGACCGUGGAGGACCUGU
rnacentral:tRNA from 13 species